rnacentral:rRNA from 1 species
AACGAACGCUGGCGGCAUGCCUAACACAUGCAAGUCGAACGAGACCUUCGGGUCUAGUGGCGCACGGGUGCGUAACGCGUGGGAAUCUGCCCUGGGGUGCGGAAUAACUCGGAGAAAUCCGUGCUAAUACCGCAUAAUGUCUUCGGACCAAAGAUUUAUCGCCCUGGGAUGAGCCCGCGUAGGAUUAGCUAGUUGGUGGGGUAAAGGCCUACCAAGGCGACGAUCCUUAGCUGGUCUGAGAGGAUGAUCAGCCACACUGGCACUGGAACACGGGCCAGACUCCUACGGGAGGCAGCAGUGAGGAAUUUUGCGCAAUGGCCGCAAGGCUGACGCAGCAACGCCGCGUGGGUGAAGAAGGCCUUCGGGUCGUAAAGCCCUGUCAGGUGGGAGAAAGGUUCGUCAAGAAACGGAUGGAAUUUGACGGUACCACCAGAGGAAGCACCGGCUAACUCCGUG